GCAUGUGUGGCCGAGUGGUCUAAGGCGUGACGCUUAAGACGUUAUAGGCGAAAGCCUGCGUGGGUUCGAACCCCACCGCAUGCA